GCCCUCGUGGAUCGUGGUGAUCCCUCCUACUUUAUCGCCGGUAAGGAUAUAAUGUUUAAGGAGAGGCGGAGGUUCGAAUCCUCCCGAGGGCA